GCAGCACCGAUGAUGAGUUUACAAUGUACUAGGUUGAAUUCUGAUCAAUCUGAGCCUCUGUGGUUCGAACGAUGACCAACCGAGUGUUCCUCUCGAUUUGAGGCGUUGC
rfam:Oryza brachyantha chromosome 10, whole genome shotgun sequence.